rnacentral:lncRNA from 1 species
ACAAGGGAAAAAAAAGGAAUAUAAGAAAGCAACUGUGAAUCUGAGGCUUCAUUUUGAGUUUUCCCCCAAAACAAAAAGGGGAAAACUAAAAGCCUGAUAGGUUACCUUUUUCUAACAAGGAACAACUGUCUCUACUUCGGGUUGCAUGCUUUCUCAAGUUUGAGUUUAGACAGACCACUCUUUUGUGAAUCUUUGCAUAAAGGGUCAUUGAAUAAUGGUCAGAGGCAUUGUCUUUGAAUGUUUUACAGAUAUGCUGAGGUUUGUACUUAGAACUUCUCAUUUUACAUUCAGCCUUUCAGUGAAAGGCGAACGUGAAGCUGACAUUUUAUAAUGGCAAAACUUAGGGGGCCAGAGCUAUAAGACAUGUUCAGAAGACAGGGAUAUGUGUCUUUUUUUCUCUUGUAUUGCUCAUGGUACCUAGCACAAAGUUGGAGAUGUGAUAGACUCUUUAAUACAGGUAUUCUUAUAUGGUUUACCAUGGCAAAAUCAACUUUCAAUUUUGUUUGGUUUUCAGAGUACUUUUCAUGAUAAAAAGGUUCAUUUGUUUUACUCUCAGAGCAUGCUCUGAGCUGAGAAUUAUAAACUAAAGGAGAAAAUAAUGAUGAGCAAAUAAUUGCCCAGGCUCCUAUGGAGAGUUCUCAGUAGAGCUGGAUUUGGUAACUUGAUGAGUUGUCACUGGCAAAUUUAGCAUUCACAUGUCAGACCUAGAAUAAUGCUAGAUGCUUAUCCCUCUCGUAUGGGAGCAGCCAGGAAGUCAGAAGAGGACCACAGACAGAGCGUUUGUUGGUGACAAGGGCUUUCAUAUCUUCAGAACUUGGCAAUAAGUAUUUUUAAAUAAUGGGAAGAAUGAAUUAUUUGAUUUCUGUGAAUUUAAAUUGCAAAAAUGAAAUAUGUGGGAGAAAACAGGUGCCUCCAUCUUUAACUGGAAUUGACAAAGCAGCAUUCACAAAGUGGCAACAAUUUCCUUUGACAUUUAUGAUUGCCCUAAUGCUGUUAAUCAGUGUGAGAUUAUUAUUUUUCCUUUCACAAAUGGAGAAACUGAGGUUCUGAGGGGUGAAGUGAGCUUACCCCAUUCCACAAAACUUGUAACUGCUGAUUCCCAGUUCUUUGUUCAUUUUAUUAGGCCAUGGAUGUUUCCUUAAAUAUAUUUCUCUGGGAAUAAAAUUCUCUUACAGAUCUUCUAGAAAUGGGGAUCUUGGCUUUCUGAAAUGAAAUUAUGUAUGGGCCAGAAGCCAGGAGAUGGAACGUGUGCUUUCUUACGUGUUUUCCUUCCAGCUUCCUUAGUCACGAUUCUUCAUUAUAACUUUGGUAUCUCUGAUAUUGAGUUAACUUUGACGAUGGUAUGGAUGAUGGUGGAUGGGUGGUACAUACAACUUUGAAGCACAUGAUGACUCUCUGGCCACCUACUUUAUUCUCGUAUUUCCCAAGAGGAGGUAAAUACUUCAUUUUAGAGAAACUGGACUCUAACCUAAAGUGGCCGAGAAGUCUAACCUGCAUUGUAAUCUUCAUCAAAUGAAAACACUUUGUUCUUAAAAGUACACUUGUUCCUUCUUCUUGCCCUUGACAAUUUUCUGUUUGAAGCAGCAAGGAACAGAGGAAAGAUAACAUAGUUUAUUCUAUGGAUUUCUACCAGUUCAAUUUUUAAAGUGUUAGCCUCUUAAAAUAAAUGUUUUCAUAAAAGAUCAUGAAGAAACUCGGAUUUUUGUCACUCCAUCAAUAUGUAGGAGGAGGGUAUGUCUGGGUAAGAGCCAAACAAUUAAGGUGUUACUGACCAGAAGUCUCUUGGUUUGCUGUCAUAAAAUGUCACAACUAUCAGCAACCACAAAAUCUUCAAUAAAUGGCACUGCAGACAGAAAUUUUUCUUAACAGUCUGGGUUUGUGAAUUCUCUUUUUUCCUUUCUGGUUUCCCUCUGUAGAUGUCUCUUUCUUCCUUUGUGCUUGGUCUCUCUGUUUCUCUUACUAACAACACACAUAUUUCUCCAUCUCUGUAUCAUCAUCUUCUAUUAGUUUUUCACAAGUGUAUUUCUGUGACUAAAAGGAUCAACAGAUGCUGACUUCAAUAUUGUGAAGCAUCCAGAAAAAGAACAAUUAAUUUAUAACAAACCUGCUUUGCUCUAACACUGACAGCUUUUGAAAAUGUAUACUGUAUGUGAGAUCCACAUCUCAUUUUGUUUUCAUUUAGAUGGUCAACAGCAUUUAACUCGAAGUUAGGUUUAAAUUCCCCCCAUGAGACUUGUCAGUUUUUGUCAGAAAUAAAACCAAUGAAUAUUUCCAUUUUAAAUAUUUAAAAGACCUUUUAAAUAAUGUGUUGAUAUUUUUGCUUGCAUUUUUGUUAUUAUCUUAACACUCUCUAUUGCUAUCUGCUUCAAUAUAGGAAAAAUGCAGUUACAAAUGUUUCCUGGUUAUAGUUAUUAAGAAUUAUCCCUAAUCUUAGGCUAGAUAUAUACAGAAGAUAAUCGUGUUCUAGAGUGUUCCUGCUGAAUAAAGUUGCCACUUAAUAAGAAACAGAUAUCAUGACUAGGUUGCCCUUGGAACUAACUGUCCAAGCGUGAACAAAUAUAUAUACUACAUCACACAUACACUCACAGUGCACAACACACUUAUACACUUCUCACAUACUCGCCUUUCUUUUACAACUUUCUGGCUCAGCAUGCCCAUGUCAUGAGCUAAUUCUGACCUAACAGAGAGGCUGUGCAGUCUUUCAGCUAGUGGAGGCUGAGAAAAUUGUGCAGCAAUAGGUCCAGUCCCUGGAAGAUGAAGUUAGUUAGCAUUUGGUGCCCAGCCAGCAGCAAUGUGACUUAGGCUUUUCGUCCUAGUAGGUAUGGAGUUCUGCUCUGAGCAACAAUUCAUUUAUUUUGUGCCAAUAUUCUGACUAGCUCAUUCUAGAAUCUUCUAUUUUGGUCAGAAUCUGUCCUAUAUUCUUGGCUGUGGUUCAAUUCUUUCAAUCAAAGAUCUGCCUAAUCCUGUUUUCCCAUAGCUAAUGUUGACAGGGUUCACCACGCCAUCUUCAUCUCCGCCCCCACUUCUCAUCUUCAGCCCAAACCAAUCUUCAUCUCUAUCUUCAUCUUUACUUCCAUCCACACAGCAAUCUUCAACUCCAUCUACCAAUACCAGUCUUAAGCUCCUGUGCCCCACCAUCCUCAGUCAUAGCAGUGCUCGAUGUGAUAACCUAAUCAAAAAUUUCAAACCAAACUGCCCAGCAUUCAUGGUUGUAAAGGACAUGUAGAAUCAGUCAACUGAUAGAUACAAAGUAACACUGAAACUGAUUGAGCAAUAAUCAGAAAGUUGGCGCUGCAAUAGCUUCCUCAGUUGUACCUCUCUGUCCACCGCCCAGCUCUUUCCUGUUGCUUCCAGUUCCUCUCACUUGUACUUCUUUAUUAACUAUUUGUUAACAUAACUUUCUAUGGUUUUCUUUCACCUAAGACCCAAACCUCUUCUCCUGGCUUGCAUUUCCACGACUCCCUGCCCAAGCCUGAGGUUGCACAAGAAACAUAUCUCUAAUUAAUGUCCCCUGUUCCAGGAAUUUGACUCAUUGGGCCUGCAAAAGAUUUUCGUGACAAAUGAAAUAUUUUUCUAAACCAAGGACUUGGGGAUAACUUCAGGGUCAAAGACAUCUUAUCAUAUUUAAGAACAGCCACAGGAUGUCUAGGAGCCAGCAGAGGGGCCAGAUAUGCUGCAGUUUAUGCUGUAAAAGGAAGCCUGCCGCCGUGAGUGGUCCAGUGGGAGCUCUUGCUUUGUGUCCUCAGCCUUUCACCUUUCCAUCUGAUGACUUGCUCUGAAUCUUCACUUCCUGGGCAGAGCUCUGAGUAUAGAUGAGGCAAACUUCACAUGGAAAAGAAGCCAUAUUUUGAAAAAACUACACGGAAUCAAAGAGAACUAACUCAAAGAAGCAAAAUUUUGGAGAUAAAACAAGACCCUAUGUUCACCAGAAGGAUCCUCAUGUCUGCAGACUACAUUAAGAGGGAGGAUAUGCCUCUGUGAAUCCAACUGAUAGGUAUCUCCUGUGUGCCAGGGAAUGGCAGGGCCAUGGCUCUCUCAAAGCCAUGCUCAUAAAAAGCCUCCUCUGCAUCGACUUCCAGUCCCAUUUGAUUCUCAAGCAAGGAGUUCCAUCCGAGAAGGAAGCUGUCACCUGUCACUCUUUUAUGAAUUCUUAAGGACAGUGGAAGAGUUGAAAGGUUGGCAAUCACAAUGACAAUAGGCUAUUACAAGCAGGUGAAGAGCCUUCUUCUUUUGCUCCUUACCCCCAACUGCUGUUCAAAUAAUCAAAAAAGGGUCCUCAUUGAAACUGAUUUAAUUCUCAAGAGGAAUGAAAGACAUUUAAAGGGCAAGCCAACUUCAUAAAUGACAUUAAAAGGUUUUAAAAUAGUGUUUUGCUUCUAAAGGGUGUUUGUAAAUGUCAGAGGUAACAUAUUGAUUACAGUCCUGGCAGUUCUUGCUCAGGGCUUCUUAGCUGUCUUUGGCUUAACUCAUGCUGUUGACUUAUGCUCAUGGUAUGAAAUAUCUCAGCCAUCUUACUUUGUUUGCUUAAACUUUUCCAACCUACCAGACUUUAUCCACAUGUGAAUAAAAGGUACCAUCAAAUUAGUGGUGUUUAUAAUUUUUGUGCUUUUUAAUGUCUCGUGAAUUAUAUAAAGUUACGAAAAUGGCUAUAGGAAUUGGCCUACAAACUCUUGAGAUGUCCUAUAAGUUCCUACAAGAUAUUGAAAGUUGGUUGCUUUGAGGAUAUAAUUCUGAAUGUUGAAGCAAAUUAAAAAGCCAACUUGGAAGGGGAUACAUAAUCCUCUUUAAGUCAAGAUGAGGGGUAUAACCUCCCCCAUAUAUUCUGGGCCCAGUCGUCUGUGUUGAAAAGAACUCUGAUAGUUUAUUUGCUGAUACUAUUAAUGGGAGCCAAAAACAUUGUGGAGAAAGGUGAUAUUGUCAUCGUGAAUCUCUCUGAACUCCUGUUCCCAAUUUGUAGCCAGUAAGAGAGCAUGAUUGCUCUGACUACAGGAUUAUACUAAGUCUCUAAGGAAAUGAGAAUAGUGCACAUGUGUACUCUGAUUUAUAGUUUGCAAAGGCCAUUCAAUAAUUGGUAAAGCCGAAACCAAUGAAUUUCCUUCUGAUUUUCAGCACCAUUCAGAAUCUGGACAUAUAAUAUGUUUAUGGCAUUUAACCUAGUCAGACAGUAGAUAUUGCUCUAAGUCAUGGCCUACACCUGUGAGCCUACUUAUAUCAGCAUUUGCCAAAUGUACUUGUAGCUGUGGUACUGACCUCAGAGAACUUAGCCAAAGAGCAAAGACUGCCUAAUUCAAGAAGUACUGGCUGUACAGGAAGCAUAAUGCCAGCAUCUGUUUCUGGUGAGGCCUCAGGAAGCUUUUACUUAUGGUGGAAGGUGAAGGAGGAACAGGUGUCUCACAGGGCAAGAGGAGCAAGAGGGAGCAGGUGGGGAUUGGUGCCACACACUUGUAAACAUCCACAUUUUGUGAGAACUCACUAUCUCAAAAACAGCACCAAGCCAUGAGGAAUCCCUUCCUAUGACCCAAACACCUCCC